rnacentral:SRP_RNA from 1 species
ACCAGGCAUGGUGGUGAGUGCCUGUAAUCCCAGCUACUUGGGAGGUUGAGGCAGGAGAAUCACUUGAACCUGGGAGGCGGAGGCUGCAGUGAGCCAAGAUCAUGCCACUGCACUCCAGCCUGGGCAACAGAGUGAGACCCUGUCUCAA